rnacentral:rRNA from 1 species
UGGGGAAUAUUGCACAAUGGGCGAAAGCCUGAUGCAGCAACGCCGCGUGAGUGAUGAAGGUCUUCGGAUUGUAAAGCCCUGUCUUUUGGGACGAUAAUGACGGUACCAAAGGAGGAAGCCACGGCUAACUACGUGCCAGCAGCCGCGGUAAUACGUAGGUGGCGAGCGUUGUCCGGAUUUACUGGGCGUAAAGGGUGCGUAGGCGGAUGUUUAAGUGAGAUGUGAAAUACCCGGGCUUAACUUGGGUGCUGCAUUUCAAACUGGAUAUCUAGAGUGCAGGAGAGGAGAAUGGAAUUCCUAGUGUAGCGGUGAAAUGCGUAGAGAUUAGGAAGAACACCAGUGGCGAAGGCGAUUCUCUGGACUGUAACUGACGCUGAGGCACGAAAGCGUGGGUAGCAAACAGGAUUAGAUACCCUGGUAGUCCACGCCGUAAACGAUGAGUACUAGGUGUAGGAGGUAUCGACCCCUUCUGUGCCGCAGU